rnacentral:rRNA from 1 species
AGUGAACGCUGGCGGCGUGCCUAAUACAUGCAAGUCGAACGAAGUGGCGCACGGGUGAGUAAUAUAUAGUUAAUCUGCCCUACACAGAGGAACAACAGCUGGAAACGGCUGCUAAUACCUCAUAGUGUAGGAUGAGACUAUAUCGUAUCAGCUAGUUGGUAAGGUAAUGGCUUACCAAGGCUAUGACGCGUAACUGGUCUGAGAGGAUGAUCAGUCGCAUGGGAACUGAGGCACGGUCCAGAAACCUACGAGAAGGAGCAGUAAUGAGUAUUGCGCAAUGGGGGAGUACCUGACGCAGCAACGCCGCGUGAAGGAUGACACUUUUCGGAGCGUAAACUCCUUUUAUCAGGAAAGCGGUACCUGAUGAAUAAGCACCGGCUAACUCCGUGCCAGCAGCCGCGGUAAUAC